CGCGCGCCGUCCCGCUCCCGGCGCCCGUCCGCGGCUACCUAUGUCAAUGGCGAAGCGCUUGGCGUUCUCCAGAUUGCGGAAGAUCUCGUCGGGGGGCAGCGUGAUGCUCUUGUCCAGGCUGUCCCCGCUGCUCCCGCUGCCGCUCGCUCCACGCUCCGCCAUUUUGAAUGUGCCCGGCCAGCCUAAUCAUCUAUGGAGAUAUAUGCGCAUAUAUUUGACUGCUAAACGCCUUCCGCGCAUAUAUUAUGCUAAUGAGGCGCCCGGGCCCGCCCCUCCCCGCCCGCCCCUGUGGUCCCGGCCGCGGGAGGGCCACUGGGCCUGCCUGCGCGGGGUCCCCGAGGCCGUUGGACCAACACAAGACGUCUGGACUGUUGUCUUUGUUGCUCUUUCAACGAGCUUGCCAGAUGCUGACGUCCAGCGCUCUGAGCGAGUGCAGAGGAGGCCCCUGAGGCUCGAGACCUCCCAACACCGGCCUCUUUCAGGCACUGGACCCAGCCGGUGUUGGCGUCUCUAAGGUGGCUUUGGCAACUGACUCCAGGGACCCUGGGUUUGGUACUUAGUGUCUCUGGACUUCAGCCCCCUUAUGAGAAUUUCAGCGGCUGCCUGGCAAGGCCUGGCCUGUGGAGUAGCAGGCUCCAGCAGUGCCCAGGGGAGGGGCUGUGGCUUCAGCACAUCAGGCAGAGGCUUGGGGAGAGGCAGCCUCGCAAAAGUCUUCUAAGAGCCCCGCCCACCUGGUGACUGUUGAGGACACACGUGAAGCACAAGAGACGGACCCCAGAUGGCUGCUUAGUCAGAUUUUAUUGGAAGUCGGCAGAGCAAUCCCAUGGGCUCCCAUGUGACUAAAAGUUCAAAUUCUGAGUACACAGUCAUGCCCACAUGCAGCCACCCACACAGAGGGAUCCUUUGAGGAUCAUGGUGGAGACCCCCACCCUCCCCACAAAGCCCACUAUGAGCCCCAGCUAGACAACCAAGGGCACGAAGGGCCUUUUGGCCACGGCUCUGCAUGGUCUUUCUGUGCCCAUCCAGGCUGACACUCUUUCCUAUGAGGAUACACCUUGAGUUCCGCCUUCACAAAAGGCAAAUGUGCCCACGGCACGGCCCACCCGCCAGGCCCCCUGGCCCAGCAGCAGCAGGCCCUGAAGAAAGUCCUCUACACGUGGAGGCACCGGCGGACCGAGCCCCUGAUGCCUACAAAUAUCAUAGAACCCCGGGCGGCGGGGACUUCCCAGAAGUCACUUGCUGAAAUGCAAACACAGAACAACCCCGUGGAGUCAGACACUUGGCAGAAGGUGGGCCCUGAUUGUCCUAUGUGACAAGGACUCUGUAAGCGCAUUCUCUUGAGAAUGACCCUCCUGCUGGCCCGCCAGCCUGGAGAGAGAGCCUUCCGGAGAAGGGGGCCUGUCCAAGCCCGAGAAGGGACAGACACAUGGCCAGAGAAACAGGCUGGCUGGCCCUCCAGUCCUUGGGGUGGCCACCCACAAGUCCUGCCGGGUCACCAGGGCCGCCAGAGGCCGCAGGCCUCUGGAAGCCGGUUUCAACAGCGGCUGGAGGGCAGAGGAAUGCCGCGAGGGACCCAGCACGUCCGGGACCCGGGCAGAGUCUCCCGUCUGCCUGAAUUGCAGUGAGGAACACUUUCACACGUAAACCACUGAGAAGACAUCCAAAGAAGAAAAAUAUUUUGCGACAUGUGAAAAUAAGAUGAGACUCAAAUGGAACGUUCAUGAAUAAAAUGUCAUGGGAGCAGGCCAGGCACACCCCUUCGCUGUUGAGGGGGCUACUUUCCUGGUACGAGGCAGAGGGAGUUGUAAGAAAUGUUACAGAAAGACCCUGCAUGUCCUUUGCCUGGUUUCCCCUGUGGCUGACGUCUUACAGAACUGUGGCAUGGGGUUUAUGGGGACGUGGUCAAGAUAGCACCUUAUCAACAUGAGGACCCC